rnacentral:lncRNA from 1 species
GACUCUGUCCAAAAAAAAAAAAAAAAAAAAAAAAAGAAUACCAUUGUAUUCUGAGCUAGGCCAACUGGCACUGAAAUAUCCAUGCUUAAAGGGACAGCAAAAAAUAGAGAGUGUCGCUGGAAGGCUGAGCAGGAAGUUUAAAGACUUAGAAAGUCUGCUAUAGAAGGAAAGAGGAAGGACUUGGUAAAGCAUGGUCUAGAGUCUUGAUCAUUAUUGUUGACUCAACAAAAAUCUAUCACAUGCCUACUACUUGCCAGGCACUGCUCAAGGCAAUUCACAGAGAUUUUACUCCUAAGACACUUGAGAAGCGGCAUAACCCUCAUUAAAAUGAAUUUGAGUGAUGAUCCCCAUUCUAUGUACUAUGCUAUAAAACCAUAGGGCAGGAGAUGGAAGAGGAUGGGAGAAAGUAGAACAGAGAAAGAGAGACUAGAAGGAAAUGAAAUGGAAAGGAAAGAGGAAGAUGAAAAAAUCCAAAGCCAAGAAGUGGACUUGAGAUGCUACAACCAAAAACAUUAUCCUGCCUCUGCAUUCUGCU